rnacentral:misc_RNA from 1 species
GCGGAUUCUGUACAUCUUGAGUUUAGGCAAGGAUGAUGAUAUGAUGGAGAUGUAGAUGACGAAUGUAUCACAGUUUGCUGCAAGGAAGAAGUGGGCAAUACCUGAAAACUGGAUUCCCUUUCUAUAAAGGAGGAAUAUAGCAAGUGCAUGGACUUACUGGCAAAAAAAUUCAUCUACUAGCAUAAGGAUUCGUUGGGUUUAUGAUACUUGUGUUACUGCUAAUCUCAGAAAUAACGUUUCUUUUU